GGAGAGGUGGCCGAGCAGGUUUAAGGCGUUGGUUUGCUAAACCAAUGUACCGGCGUUGAACUGGUACCGCGGGUUCGAAUCCCGCCCUCUCCG
rnacentral:tRNA from 2 species